ensembl:misc_RNA Metazoa_SRP Metazoan signal recognition particle RNA
GCCGGGCAUGGUGGCGCAUGCCUGUAGUCCCAGCUACUUGGGAGGCUGAGGUGGGAGGAUCGCUUCAGCCCAGGAGUUCUGGGCUGUAGUGCGCUAUGCCGAUCAGGUGUCUGCACUAAGUUCGGCAUCAAUAUGGUGACGUCCUGGGAGUGGGUGACCACCAGAUUGCCUAAGGAAGGGUGAGCCGGCCCAGGUCAGAAACAGCAGGUCAAAACUCCCAUGCUGAUCAGUAGUGGGAUCACACCUGUGAAUAGCCACUGCACUCCACUCCAGCAUGGGCAACAUGGGGAGACCCCAUCUCU